AACGAACGCUGGCGGCAUGCCUAACACAUGCAAGUCGAACGAGACCUUCGGGUCUAGUGGCGCACGGGUGCGUAACGCGUGGGAACCUGCCCUUAGGUUCGGAAUGACUCCCCGAAAGGGGUGCUAAUACCGGAUAAUGUCUUCGGACCAAAGAUUUAUCGCCUUUGGAUGGGCCCGCGUUGGAUUAGCUAGUUGGUAGGGUAAAAGCCUACCAAGGCGACGAUCCAUAGCUGGUCUGAGAGGAUGAUCAGCCACACUGGGACUGAGACACGGCCCAGACUCCUACGGGAGGCAGCAGUGGGGAAUAUUGGACAAUGGGCGAAAGCCUGAUCCAGCAAUGCCGCGUGAGUAAUGAAGGCCUUAGGGUUGUAAAGCUCUUUUACCCGGGAUGAUAAUGACAGUACCGGGAGAAUAAGCUCCGGCUAACUCCGUG
rnacentral:rRNA from 1 species